AAAAAGUCAAGUUAAUUGCAAGCAGAAGUUGAAAAUCAAGUUUAAAUUAAUCAAAAAUUUAAUUAAACUAAAUGAUCUUUGACUAGCAGCAGUUUUCUUGGCUGAGGGUUAAAAAAUAAAACCAUAAUAGAGAAUUUUUUUUUAAGAUGGAAUCUAGCUGUGUUGACCAGGCUGGAGUGCAGUGGUGUAAUUACAGCUCACUGCAGCCUCAACCUGCCAAAUUCAUGCCAUCCUCCCACCUCAGCUUCCUGUAUAGUUGGGACCACAGGUGCAUGUCACCAUGCCCAGCUAAUUUGUAUAGAAACUGAGUUUUGCCAUGUUGCCCAGACUGGUCUCAAACUCCUGGGCUCAAACAAUCCCGUCGCCUUGGCCUCCCAAAGUGCUGGGAUUACUGGUGUAGGCAAGGAUGCCUGGCCUAGUAGAGAACAUUUUUUUCUGUACUAUAUAGCUUUCAAUAUAGUGGGAGUAAUAGACAAGUAUAAAAUAAUCAAUUUGAUAUAGGGAAGAUUAGGUUACACAUGAGAAGAAUAUGUAAAUUAGACUGAAGGAAUAAGUAUAUUUUGUAUUAUGUUUAAAACUUUGUGUAAGGAGAUAUGAAUAGUUGAAUAAAUUACUUGUACAGGAAUUAAUAUCAUAUCCUGCAUAAUGAAUUCUCAACAGAUGGAGACGUAUUCCAAAGUGCCUCUGUCUUAAUCUUAAUAAUUAGUGGGAUUCUAGACUUCCACAGGUCAAUUCUACAACUAGCCCAUUAUUUCUGCGGUUUUAUAAUUUUUAAAUAUAAAUACGUAAGACUUUUCUUUGUUGUGUAGAUUAUGAAAGAAAACUUGAGAAAAUUAAUUCUUAAUACAAACAAAAACAACAAAAUGCAUUUCUGUAUUUAUAUUUAACAAUAGUCAUUUCAAAAAAUCUGUUAUGAUUUGUUUUAAAAAUAAAUUCAAUGCAUGAACUAAAAUAGUGCUUAUUAAUAUAGUAUUAAUAUCCAACAACACUGACAUAAAUAUAUUUUUCCUUAGGGAUUAUAUGUUAUUAUUCUGAGAUCUAAUUUCUAAUUUUUUUUAGUGCUUAAGUUUUGAAAUUGUGCUUGUGAUGCUUCUUGCUUUUCCUUGUUCAUUUUGUUUUAUUGAUAUUUGUUAAGAAGCAUAUUGGAUUGGCUACUUUAGCAUAAUUUUUCUUCUUCUUACCUAGAAAACAUCUUAAAAUAACUUAUAUCUCAUCACUCAAAUCAAUUUUAAAGUUAUUUUAUGAAAUUUACAUGCUACAGACCCUUUUUGACCCUGGUCCUACUCAUAUAACAUUUACAAGUCCUUUCUACAAAAAAAUUGCUAGGCCUUUACCCUGAAAAGAAAGUGAUAUUUUUAGCAGCUGAAAAUAACAGGCUUUGCCUUAUGAUUUGAUUUCAUCUUUUGUUUCUUAAAUAAAACUGUACUACCCUAUUUUCAUAAUGUUUUGAUCAACCUAUAUAGAACAAUGAGCACUAAUUGACUAAUCUCGUCUUCAGGACUUCUGUUAUUAUAUGCUCAACAGAGACUAUUUUAUAGAUAAUUUCAGCUCCAACAGUUUUUUUUUUUUUAAACCUCUGCUUUAUACCUCCUGUACCAGUAGAUCUCAGUCCUUCUGAAAUAAUGUCUCCUUGUAAUUAUAACAACUGUGUAGUUUUAUUUAGUGACAUGAAAUCCAUGUGUUCUAAUGAAGGGAUAAUGAAAAAAAGGGCCCUCAUUUAAUAAUACCACAAGGCUAGCACUCUUGCAAUAUUUGUUAUUAUAAUAUAUAUGGUAUUUUUUUUUACAAUAUAUUAAUGAUAUCAGCGUUUCAGGUAUCAGGUAUCUGCAUCUCCCACUGCAUUCUUUGAUCAUCUUGAAACAGAUACCUGUUAUGAAUAAAUUGACUUCAGUUCUCAGAACAUGACAGAUAACUUUGUUAUUACUCAUAGUUUCAGUGUUCCCUACCUACUUUUUUGUCUAGUGCAUAUCUACUCAUGCUUUAAUAUUAUGCUCAAGGGCAGCCCUCUUUAUAUUUUAUUUAAAUCCCAGAUAGAUUUUACUGCCACAUUAUUUUUUAUUUCUCCUGGAUUUUACACAGUGUGGUUCUGAAUGGCCAGUAACUAUUACCCUUUAAUUUCUUUCUGUCAUUCACAAAUAUCUGAGAACAAACACAUGAAAAAGAUACCGAAGAGAGAAGAUAAGUUUUAAUACUAAUUGAGCAGAUUAGAGUCAUAGCUUUGGAUACAGAGAUGGCUAAUAUUUCCAUCCCUUCUCUCAAAGGGUUGCUGACACAGCUGGACAUACACAGUGCCCUUGUGAGGGAGAGUCAGCAAGGUGAAAUUGACACAAAGGGUGAGCCAAUAUAUUCUAUGCCAAACACACACCUUUUUGUUUCCAAACUCAACAAUCAGGUAAGUCAAAAUGGAGAAAGAAAUGCUAAGUCAGAAAGACACCAGUGAAAAAUAAAAAAAGUGAGGAAUGAGGAAUAUAUGUUCACAGUAAAAUUUCAUGCCAUUGAUAAGGUGGAGAGAGAAUUUAGAUAAAGAGAGGGUUAUGAUCAACUUUCUCCAAGAUAUAUAGCUUAAAAAUGCAGCAGUCUUUCAGCCGGUAGAACAGAGUAGAGCUGACCUUGGCCAGCUGACCUGGGCAGAAUGAAGCAACUCCUGCCACAGAAUAGCAUUUCAUCCUUGCAUCCUGCACUGGGACCAUCAUGUGCUUUUGAUGAAAGUCAAGAAUAAACCCUAAUCUCAGCUCAUACAAGACAUUAGAAGUGCCUUUUUCUGCUAUUCCUACUCCCAUUUAAUUGUGUCUUUUGAUGUUUGGCUGGGAGCUUUGGCCUGGAUCCCUGUGGAAUUUGCCUGAUUCGUUCACUAUAUCAUCCAAAGCUGGACACACACACCACACACACAGAUACACAGACACACACAUGUACAUAGAGAGACACACAGAGAGAGAGACUCUAAGCACACACUCUGUUUAUUCCACAGGUCGUUGUGCCUGCCCUGCCUGGGUGUUUUUUCAAAAUCUUGUGGAUAUGAAACUAUAGACGGUGUUGUGACCUCUGCUGCAGUGGCUUGGAAAUUCACUGGCAGCGGGCACAGAAAAAGAUAUGAAUUAUGAGAGAGAUUUGAUGUGAGAUUCUCCACUGCUGGCUUUGAAAAUGGAAGAGGCCUCACAUGGCAAGGACCUGAAGUAGCCUCUGGGAGCUAAGAGUGAUUGACCAUUGUCCUGUGGCCUCAAGAAAAUCAGGAGUUCAGUCUGCAACUACAAGGAGCUGAACGCUGCCAACAACCUCAAUGACACUGGAAGAACACACUGAACUCCAGAGAACACAGCCCAGGCCAAUACAUUGAUUUUAGCCGUGUGAAACCUAUUGUAGAUAACUCAGUUGUGCUGUGCUUAGACUUUUUUUUUUUUUUUUUUUUUGAGACGAAGUAUUGCUCUGUCGCCCAGGCUGGAGUGCAGUGACACGAUCUUGGCUCACUGCAACCUCCGCCUCCCGGGUUCAAACGAUUAUCCUGCCUCAGCCCCCUGUGUAGCUGGGAUUACAGGCACCCGCCACCAUGCCCGGCUAAUUUUUGUAUUUUUAGUAGAGACAGGGUUUCACCAUGUUGGCCAGGCUGGUUUCGAACUCCUGACCUCAAGUGACUGCCCGCCUUGGCCUCCCAAAGUGCUGGGAUUACAGGCGUGAGCCACCGCGUUCUGCCACUGUGCUCAGACUUCUGACAUAGAGAACUGCGAACUAAUAAAUGGCUUUUACAGCACUAAUUUUUUGUUAGUUUAUUACACAGCAAUAUAGAAAACUAAUAAAUAUCAAGUGAAAAUGAAUUGUUUGCUUCUAAGCACUUGAUUUAGAUAAAUCCUACAGGUUUGUUCAUGUAAUUAAAAAUAUGUGUAAUUUCCAUUGUAAGUUCUUUAUUCUUUUUUAGUGAUUACUCGAGAUGAUAGUAUGCAUUUUUAAACUGAUAUUGAUAACAUUCUUUACUAUUUCCUUGAUAAUGCUAAGCUCUUAGCAACUGCAUUCCACAUCCUUUUGUCUGUAUGCCAUUGUUGACAUGCAUUUUAAUUCUGUAUAUAUUUUAAAUACAGUAGCUAUAAUUAUUAUUUUUAUUUCACCAAUUAGCAUACAUUUAGAUAUUUCCAAAUCUUUAAGCAUUAUGUUAGUCUUCAGUUAUUUCUGCCUAUUAUUUGUUCAGUAUCAGCUUUCUUAGGAUAGGUUCUUAUUUACUAGUACUUAUUAGUAUUUUUUUUUGUUAGCAUAUUCUAAUAUUGUUUGAAUGGAAUAAAUUUUUUUACCUUCACUUUGAAAAUAUAUUUAUUUUCUAUAUAAUGAAUUAUCAUUUGGUAUAUUCUCUGUCAAUACUUUUAAAAUGUUAUUCCACUCUUUAUUUUUUCCAACAUAUCUGUUGACAGCUCCCAGUCUUCCUGCUUCUCCUUUAAAGGCACCUAUGUGUUUUCUCUGGCUCGUUUUAAAAUCCUUCCCUCCCCUCUUUCUUGAAAUUAUUAGCUUUUUUUUUUUUUUUUUUUUUUUUUUUAGCAGUCUAUCCCUCCUUCUUGGAAUUAUUAGUUUUAAACUGUUCUUUAAUAACUCUAAUGAAUUUUGAAAAAUUCCUGCCCCAAAUCCCUCUCAAUAUUGCCUCUGCAUCAUUCUUCCUUUCUUUUCUUCUACUGCAAAAAUAAUUACACAAAUGCUAUUUUUUAAUUAUUUUUUUAUUUUUUUAUUUUUUAGACGGAGUCUUGCUCACUCUGUCGCCCAGGCUGGAGUACAGUGGCGCCAUCUUGGCUCACUGCAAGCUCUGCCUCCUGGGUUCACGCCAUUCUCCUGCCUCAACCUCCCUAGUAGCAGGGACUACAGGUGCCUGCCACCAUGCCUGGCUAGUUUUUUGUAUUUUUAGUAGAGACGGGGUUUCACCAUGUCAGCCAGGAAGGUCACGAUCUCCUGACCUAGUGAUCCACCCACCUCAGCCUCCCAAAGUCCUGGGAUUACAGGUGUGAGUCACUGCGCCCGGCCAACAAAUGCUAUUUUUGCUUUGACCCUUUUCCUACUUAUAUUCAUUUUUGCUUUUUACUUUCCACCUUUUGUUUUGAACUUAUCUCCAAAUUCACUCUCUUCUGCAUGCCUAGUCUACUGUUCAGCCUAUUUAUUUUUUUAUUUCACUCAUUUUACUUUUCAUUUAUUUAUGUUUUAAAAUAAAUGCAUAAUAAAUUUAUGUAUUAAAUAAAAAUUCUCUAUGAAAGUUUAUAUCCUAUAAUAUUUCUUUUUCUUUUAAUAGCUAAACUUUAUUUUGUAAAGAUACAACCCCUGUCCUUAUAGACAAAUACAACCUCCCCAACUAUCAACAUCCCAUACCACAGUGGUACACUUCUUACUAUUGAUGAGCCUACCUUGACACAUCAUUAUUACCCAAAGUCUGUAGUUCACAUUAGGACUCACUCUUGGAGAUGUACAUUCUGUGGGUCUUGACAAUGACAUAUAUCACCAUCACAGUAUCAUACAAAAUAGUUUUCUUGCUCUAAAAAUCCUCCAUGCUCUUCUUAUUCACCUUUUCCACCCUCUACAAGCACCUGCAACCCAACAUCUG
rnacentral:lncRNA from 1 species